rnacentral:lncRNA from 1 species
UAUCAUUUGGACCAUCACUCCGUUCCCCGACUAGUCCCAGCUAUAUUCUCAUUUCCUGAAGAGAUUAAUGAAAGCAAAGGGUGAGCUCAACUAGCCUAGUAAGAAAUAUUAUGACUAAGAUAAUGUAGAAUAAAUUAUCCUUAGCCUUCAAUAGUAUAACAACUGAUAGAAUAUAAUAGACAAAAUACAAGUUUUAGAUCAACAACUGCAGCGGAAUAAGCAAUCCAUUAGAAGAGUCAAGUAGAACAUAAAAUCUACUAUCUUCUAUGAUUUAAAAAGUUUUUCAUCAACUCAGCUUAAUAAAUAAACCACAUCAUCCAAUCAUCCCUGCACCACGACCAAGGAUAUUCAUGUAAUCAUCAAUGGUCAAGAUUAUACCGAAUAAUCUCUGGUCAUAAUCAUACCAACAACUGUCCAUUAAUGAACUACAGGCCAAUGAGGACUUUCACCACAUCAUUCGUCACAUUACGGUCAUGAUUAUACCGAAUAAUCCCUGGUCAUAAUCAUACCAAGUCCAUCUAUCCACG